rnacentral:rRNA from 1 species
GACGUAGGGCGCGAGCGUUGUCCGGAUUUAUUGGGCGUAAAGAGCUCGUAGGCGGCUUGUCGCGUCGAAUGUGAAAACUCGGGGCUCAACUCCGGGCUUGCAUUCGAUACGGGCAGGCUAGAGUUCGGUAGGGGAGUCUGGAAUUCCUGGUGUAGCGGUGAAAUGCGCAGAUAUCAGGAGGAACACCGGUGGCGAAGGCGGGACUCUGGGCCGAUACUGACGCUGAGGAGCGAAAGCGUGGGGAGCGAACAGG